ensembl:antisense Gm11100 predicted gene 11100
AUGGAGCGCCCUCCGUUUUGUCAAAGUGAACUCCUAAAGCUUGCCUGUGGGAAGACUGGCCAGUACCAAAGAAUCCAGCAACCCAAUAGGAAAACUGGCUCAUUCAAAGGGAAGGUGAUAGAGAGAUGGCAUAGAGCUGUGUCCACCAACUUAGCCAAGCAAAAUGUGUUGGUCCUCAAAGAGGAAUCAUUGAAUGAAAGCAACUUGGGAUUUCAUGAAAGCCAAAGCAACCCAAAGAGAAACCUGGUAAAGAAGAUGAAGAGUGCUGUUGGGAAAAUGCUGUCUUGCAAGUGUGGAAGCCAGUCAGCCAGUGCUGGCAGGGAGAGCUUUGUGGAGCAGAGGGAAGCCUCCCCGUCCAAAGCACCGGGCCUGCUGCCUAGACUUGUGAAGGAGCUUCCAUCGCCCAGAUUAUUCAGCAAUCCAAGCAUGAAGAAGCUCUCACAAAAUGCAACAAUACAGCUUGAUGUUGUAGAAGCAGAGACAGAAGAGGUAACUGGAGGAAAUGGGCUUCUCCGCGCCAAGAGAACCACCAAGCGAUUAUCUGUGACAUCACUUCCUUCAGGGCUGCAGAAGGCACAAUAUUCAUCAAAAAAGAGACCACACUUCCCAGCACUUAAAAAGAAGAAGCGGAGCAUGGAAGCCAUUCUCCAGAAAUCAGAGCUGACUGUAGGCAAGCUUCAAAUGCAGGUGGAUGACCUCAUAGAAACAGUGACUGACAAAUCCAUGAAGCUUCUGGAACAAAGGCACGCUGAGCUUAAGCAGUGUGAGUUUCUAGGGGCUGAGAUCCUUCAGUCUUCGAAGCAAUUCCAAAGGCUUUCCAAGAGAACCACGAGGAAGUAUAAGCUGCGACGAGCAUGCUUCCCAUGCACCUGCUGCUGCUGCUGCUGAGUUCCCAGUACACAGCUCAGCUACCAAGGGGAGGGACCCUGCCUUAAACAGGGUAGACAAGCAGCAGCCAACGCUGUCAUCCGAAUCUAUCCACAUGCUACAGCAGGUGCACGCCCUCACACAUAAGCAUGCAAACAUAUGUACCAUGCAUGCAUGCUCCCAAAGAAGUAUUUUUUUAAAAAGAUUCUUUAAAACAAAAUGAUAGAAGAAGCAUUUACCAACCACAUUCCUCAAGGACUAAGAGAGAGCUGUAGAAAAGCAACACAGAUGGACUGAUUUCAUACGACAGCCAUUCUUAACAGUGUGAAAGCUUCCCCUACAAUAAACCCACGCCAUAAGUACUCAUCAUGGCCCUCUAAGGCCUACUCAUGGACUCCAUUUUCUCAAGUUUUACUAACAUCUUCUAGAAAUCUAUUCAUUUUCUCAUGUGUAUCCCAAACGCCAUCUUAGAUAAUCCUUACCUGGUUCGCUAAGGCAAGUGUUAGCAGCUACCUAGAGUUUUGAAUGACCACAAAGAUCCACCUUGAGACAUUUUAUUAAAUAUUUUCAGAUGCUGAUUUCUAUGUUUAAGGAUAAAAAUGUAUUUAAAAAAUACAUAUAUAUGGGAUACAUUUCCGUUCUGUGAAGAAAUAUGAAUGACACAUGAAUACUUGAAAGCAAAGUACUUCAAUGCUGAAGUUGAAAUAUCCCAAAAGUACAACACACUGAACCCAGGAAGCCCAUGCAGCUAUUCGCUGUCCCUGUAAAUGGCGACGGUCAGCCCAUCUACGGCUUAGGGUCUGCUUCCAUGGUGCUUUCUUGAGCUUCAUCCACCUCUGACAGCUUGUCAUCAUCUGUAGUUAAGAAGACACAGAACCUUACUCCAUGUCACCUACAUUUUGUGCCUAGUAAUGCAUGAGAAGUUUUAUUUUGCAUUAGCAAAUAUGGUUAUGUAUGCAGCCCCUGCGCAACCCCUCCAACGUAAUUGUUAUAUUUGAUUAUUUUUACAUAUUAUUAAGAGCAUAUAAUUUGUGUGAUAGAUUUCAUUAAAACCAAAGAACUAAAAUCUAGGUCUUAGCCUGAUU